UGUUCCCACUCAGGCCCACGGGGCCGGCGAUGAUCAGCAUGAACAGGCCAGGGCGAGCCGAUGCAUCUGAGUGCUUCAUAAAAGAAAUAAAUCUACAAAUCAGGGGAGGGAGAGGUGACAGUUGAGAAAUGAAAGUAUGUAAACAAUAACAUGAACUGCACUUCAGUCUGAUUCAUCUGUACAUGUGGGACUCUUCAGUUAUAAUUGAAACAAACUACUAUCUCUCAGAAGAUGUACUGCUUCAUAGUUUAUUACCAAGAGCAUAUUGUGAGCCAGUAGAAAAUUCCUGAACUUAGAAUAAAAAAGUAGUGGACUUUCUGACAAGCAAUGU